CCACCCCCCUCCCCCCCCAACCGCGCAACAAUUACCCCUUUUAGGAUCGGCUAAUCCUGAAAUAUGGGCCUGUGACUAAUGGCGGAAUUUAGCAAGAAAUCAGCUCCAGUUUCACCGGCUUUAUUGACUCUAAUGCAGGAUGCAGAUACCUUCAGCUAUGAUGGAUGAGCGUGGGGAUACUGUCAGCCCCCCCCCUCCUCCUCCUCCUGCUCCUCCUCCUCCUCUUUCACUGUUGCCUUUGUGCAGGUGAUAAUGAAAAGUGUCAGAGAAGCAUGUAGCGGGCCCUUUUCACUGGCUCUCGCCAAAAGAAUGAGCCGCCAUGACAACAUUGACGUUGGAGUUUGUUGUUUCACAGGGCGAGGCGCUUCGCAGACGUCCCUCCUCCCUUAUUGUAUCGCGGCCGUCAAUAAACUGCAAUAUUGUGUCUCACUCUUGAGCGUGUGCCAGCCUGCUCCCACAUUCUGCUACAGGGGGGGGGGGGGCGGCGAUUGAGCAUAAAGCCACAAAAGCGGGGUCUUAGUGUACUUUGCUGCACAAACGAGUUAUCAAUCACGCUCUGCAUGCGAGGUGAUGGAUACGCGAGGCGCUUUUAUUUGACAGUGACAGAUAUGGUGCCGAUGAAUGAGUGCAGAUUGCCCGAUAAAUCAACCCCUCAAAUGUUUCAGACUCUGCUAAUCAUGGGCUUUUACUUUGAAGGGAACAAAGUCAAUAUUUGCGUUGUUGCACCUGCAGGGUUAAGAAAAUAAAGAGGGUUCGGGUGAAUACAAAGUUAUCCGACUAAAUCCUCGGGGAGUUUAGUUUGUGAGUGUCAUCAAAUUCCUGGAGACUGAGAUCAGAUCAGAAUGUCGUCGACUUCACUCGACCACUGAAGCGGAAUAAUCUCAAGUGGCAACAAAUGUGGAAUGAAAAUGAAAUUUGCGGCUCAAUCAUCCAUCAAAGUGAUGAUGCACUAGUAUCAGUUUGUGUGAAAAUAUGUGUGGAAACUAGAACUGGAGAAUAAUAUGAAUUUCAUUGUACAGAGUAACCUGUUAAACUGCACAUGCCCAUAAGUCAGGAAUCAUCAGGGACCAGGAAACAUUUAUUGCCAUAAUAUGUGAGACAUACAAGGGAUUUGACGUGGCGGUUGGUGCGUGACAGCAGACAGAACAACAACGGACGACAAGACAACAGUGCACGAGGAAUAAAAUAAAAUAUAAUGCUAUGGGUUAGUUUAAAAAUUAAAGUUUAAAAUGUUUAAAAAUAAAGUGCAAACAGCGGAGCAGAGGGAAGGGGCACAAACAGGUUUUGUCCGGGGUGAGAGGGGUCUACUGUAUAGAGGGGUCUAUGUAGGAGGUCUAUAUAGGGGUCUAUAUAGGGGGUCUAUAUAGUGGUCUAUGUAGGGGGUCUAUAUAGGGGGUCUAUAUAGUGGUCUAUGUAGGGGGUCUAUAUAGGGGUCUAUAUAUAGGUCUAUGUAGGCGUCUAUAUCGGAGGUCUAUAUAGAGGUUUUGUCCGGGGUGAGAGGGGUCUACUGUAUAUAGGGGUCUGUGUAGAAGUCCAUGUAGGGGGUCUAUAUAGUGGUCUAUGUAGUGGUCUAUAUAGAGGGUCUACAUAGAGGUCUAUGUAGGAGAAAUAUCUUCAAUCUUGAAUUUAAUACGUAAUAAGUACAUUUUUGUUCUCAUUCCGAGGUGAUGAGAUCAACUUCACAGCAGCUGCUGUGAUAAUAUAAUUAUUAUGUACAUUACAGGUCAUUUAGCAGACGCUUUUUAUCCAAAGCAACUUACAUUACACUUUAAACUCAUGGCUUUUUCACAUUUUUGCCCGGGGAGCAAUUAGGGGGUUAGGUGUCUUGCUCAGGGACACUUGGACAUGGAACAUGGGGCAGCCUGGAAUCGAACCACCAACCUUGUGCUUCCCAGCACACCUUCUCUAACCCCUGCGCCACGACGACGGGAGAUGUUAUUUAGCAAUUUAUUCUUAAAUAUAGUUUGCUUAAUUGUUUGGGUAAUUGGAUCACUAAUGCUGUGGGCACCUGGAGGUUACGUAGCCAGGUGGGACCAGCAUGCACCUGGGUGACAAAUAGUUUUCACCAGUGAGUCAGAGCGACAGAGCGACAUGCACUGCAUGGGAAAGCAGACAAGUUGCGUAUGUGUUGUGGAUUCUGUGGAAUAAAGGCGAAACAAAGGAAAAGAUCGCCCGGACAAUCCGCUUUCUUACUGCGUGAAAGAAAACAAAAACUAGGUGCAGCAGUGGCUCUUUGAGAUGUAAAGAUUAGUUGGUAACAAGGACAAAUGGCCACUACAAGUACGCUAGUAUCAUAAUGUGUGACCCUGUAACUGAUCUAGAAGCAUGAAGAUAUGAAAAUAAUAAAAUGUAGGGUCUGGAAAACAGCUGUUGUUUUGUCCACUAAUAUUUUUGCAUGUCUAAUAUUUUGAGGAUAAACACAUUUUGCUUGUGUGAAAAACACUGUUGGUUAUUUAUAAGUAAGGUUGAUUUACUGGAGGUGUGUCGGAGAAGUUUUAUUCUUUGUCCUGUCAUUGUUCAAACAGCUUCAUCAAAUGUUCUUAUUUCACUGUAAGAAAACACAGUGGAAACAAAGAGGAACACAAAACAAACAACAAAAACAAAAAAGAAGAAUUGUAUAUUUUUUGAUCCUACGAAUCAACACUUAAGGUAAGGUAAAAAUAAUAGAUAAAAAGGUAAUAUAUGAAAUAUAAAAUACCCAAACCUGUUGGAAAACAUAUUUUUUAAUUAAGUAAAAAAUAUAAAACGACAUAUCAAAUAUUACAUAUGAAUGAGCUCAUAACCGGAUCUUGUUUUAUAAAGAUAUUUCCCUUUCGACCGAGUUACAUGCAACUGUAUUACGUAAGUAAGCCGACUUCUGCCAUGAAAGAUGAAAUAAAACUUUUGUCCUGCAGUAAACACCUGCAGGGAACAUGAGCAGAGAGCCGACACGCAUAUUCCUGAAAAGAUGGAAUACAUAUUUACAUCACACACAAGCGGCGUUUGACCGCCUCUGCCACCUGUUUGAUGUCAAACAGGAGAUUCUGAUAAAAAGCCCGGUACCCGUUAUGAAAACGCUGUUGCAUAAAUACAAGUGAAACCCGGCUCUCAGGAGUUUAUCUUAUGAGUAAACAGGUGUAUAUAUUACUCAAACAACAACAGGAGAAUAAUGUUGAGGCAAUAAAUAGUUGACUGCGGAGAGGAUUUACGCCACGAUGAAAUAAAGUUUAUGUGGAGGUUUGAUGCAGGAGUCACGACACCAGAGUUCCUGUGAAAUAAUGCUGAAUUCAAGCAGCACAAUGAGUCUUCUUCUCCACGGAGGGACGGGAGGGAGAGGGUGAGGGAGAGGGGGAGGUGGAGGGGAGAUUGUAUCUUGGCAGUUGCAAAAGCAAACUGUCUGAUGUGACACAUAACAACAUCCAAAGACAACAGCAAUAAGUCACGCUCAUGAGCCCAAAAGGCAAAUAUGAUCAGGUGUUGUUUUAACAGCGAUGCAAAUCAGCCCAAAGUGAUACUUCUGGAACACGUCUCCUGCGUGUCUUCACACGUCCAUUUAAUCCAAACUGCAGAAUAAACUGAAGUUUUAAAUUUGGAUUUAAAACCCCCCUUCCCUCCCCCACGUCCACCCCGUCACCUCAUCCGUCCGUCAGCAGCCUCUUCUGCUCGGUAACAGUUAGGAAUGGUCAUUGGUGUUUAAUGACACUGAAUCCCUCUUUAUUGCUGAUGUUAAGCACUAAUAUGAAGUCAGGCGCUUAGUAAUGACCCCCCAGGGGGGGGUGCGUGGGGGGGGGGGCACUUUGGUGAAGGGGAAUAGUAUUAAAGUGCUGCAGCAGCUGCAGCGCUCUCCGUCCCAGCGGGUUUUAGAAUCACAAUCAGUGCAGAAAAUGAAACAUUACAGUCGAUCGGAGCG
ensembl:lncRNA